CGAGGGGGACUCGCGCGCUGCGGCGCCCCCUGGCGACAGGAGGGGCUCGGUGCAGGCUAAUCCACGCGCGGAGUCCAGGGUCCCUCUACAGCGGUUUCCCUGGGAACCACUCUGGCUGGAAAUCCUGUGGCUGCCUUUGGAGGAUGUGAACUCUCCUGGGAUGGUAAGAGGCUUUGGACUGUGUAUUGAGGACAAGCAGAACCGACCUGAAAUUCCGCGUCUGUGGAUACCUGAAGCUGGAGUAGGAGGACCAGAAGUGCUCUGCGCUCUGCUAUUAACCCCAUGAAAAGAGUUCUUUCCAGAUAAGCGGAUACUUGCGGCUGCGUGGAGUGGAUCCCAGUCCCAGUUUGCUACCAGCAAUCCCAACCCAAGACACAGUCGCUGUCUCCAGGUGUGCUCUAGCUUCUGUUCCCACCCACCUCUGUGUGAGGCAAGUCGAACCGCGUCAGCAGACAAGAACUGGGAAGGGUGAGCAGAUUCAGACCAGGACACCCC
rnacentral:lncRNA from 1 species